AUUUGAACAGCAAGGACAGUCAUCCCAGAGGCCCACCUUUAAAACAUAGAUCAAAACCUUUUAAACCUUUUUUUUUUUCUCCAGCUUCCUUAUGGCUUAUGUUCUUCUCUGGGACACUGUUUCCAUUCAUCAAAGACAUUAGAAAUAGAAACAGACUGCAGGGGUGUCUUCAGCAGCCCUGCACAGAAAGGCAAACCUCAGCCUCCAUGACAAUGGGCAACAAAGAUACCCACCUAAAUUGAAUGGAAUCCUGCUCAGAAAACAACUGAAGAGCAGAGACUGGGCAGUAUGAGCAGGGGCAGUCAUGUGAUCCCUUUGUCAGUGUCCUGAAAUGCUUUGCUUCCUCUUUCGAGUAGUGAUGAAGUUUAAA